rnacentral:rRNA from 1 species
AACGAACGCUGGCGGCAUGCUUAACACAUGCAAGUCGAACGCUGCCUACCUGUCUAGUGGUGCACUGGUUGGUUACGGAACGGAUGAUUACCUCAUGUUUGACCUAACCUCUUGAUUGGGAUGACGCUAGCGGAUAAUGUCUUCUGCCCAAUGUUUUCUCGGCUUUGGAUGGGGGUGGGUUGGAUUAGUUAUUUGGUAGGGUAAAAGGCUACCAAGGCGUCGAUUCAGAGCUGGUCUGAGAGGAUGAUCAGGCUUACUGGGACUGCGACACGGCCAAGACUCCUGAGGGAGGCAGCAGUGGGGAAUAUUGGACAAUGGGCGAAAGCCUGAUCCAGCAAUGCCGCGUGAGUGAUGAAGGCCUUAGGGUUGUAAAGAGCUUUUACCCGGGAUGAUAAUGAGAGUACCGGGAGAAUAAGCUCCGGCUAACUACGUG